rnacentral:lncRNA from 10 species
AAGAAUUUUUCUUAGUACAUAACAAAAUGGAGUCUCCUAUGCCUACUUCUUUCUACACAGACACAGUAACAAUCUGAUCUCUCUUGCUGUUCCCCACAGGGCCGAGAUCUUGCCACUGCACUCCAGCCUGGGUGACAGAGUGAGACUCCAUCUCAAAAAAAAAAAAAGUGUGCUCUGGGCUGGGCGCAGGGGCUUACAACUGUAAUCCCAGCACUUUGGGAGGCUGAGGCAGGAGGAUCGCUUGAAGUCAGGAGUUUGGGAUCAGAUCCUAUCUCUAGAAAAAUGAUUUUUAAAAAUUAGCUGGGUUGGUGGUGAAUGCCUGUAGUCCCAGCUACUCAGGAGGCUGAGGCAGGAAGAUUGCUGGAGCCCGGGAGUUCAAGGCUGCAGUGAGCUAUGAUCAGGCCACUGCACUCCAGUUUGAGGGACAGAGAGAGAUCCCAUCUCCCUAAAGAACAAAAAAGUGUGCUCUGGUGCCACACUGCCUGGUUAGAUCCUUUGUCCACCACUUAGAUGCAUGUUAUAUAAAUGCUGUCUUCAAUUUCCUCAUCUGUAACUUGGGGAUGAUAAUGCUGUCCCAUGAAGUGGUUGUGGGGACUAAAUGUACGUGGGCACAUUGGUAAGUAUUCAACAAGCUUGAUUUUUCCUGGAGAGGGAGAAAGAGCAUACAGUGAAGUGGCAUGGUCAGGUGCAUUGGGGCAAGGAUUAUUUCCUCUGGCUUCUGCCUCCUGGGAGGUACUAAGGAUGGAUCUGAAAUGUGUCUGCAGACCCCAGAGUUGGGGACUGCAGAGGGAAAUUGAGAUCAGGGACCCCAGUCUGGCAGAAAUGGGUGCAGCAUGGGGCAUUGGGUUCCUUCCAUCAGAGGCAUGGGGUGUGUUGCAGACAGUCAUGAGAUGUGGCUGAAUCUUGCAAGGGAGCCACUGUCCUAGGGUUGCUGCUUGAGACAAAGACCACUGUCAGUGGAACCUGGUGACCUUCACCCUUCUGUGUCAGGCUGCAGACAGCAAGAGAUGGCAGCAGAUUACACCCAACAGGAAAAGGGCCAUUGCUAUCCCACAGGUUGCCAUAGGAGGGGAUGAUAUCUCUUCCCUCUCCUCCUCCAGCAGUGUCAGCUGGGGAAGAGGUGGGUUGGUGUGCACAAAAGAGUAGACCGCAGACCAUGCUGCUUCUCCUCCAGUCUGCUGGGGCCCCAAGAGAGUCUGCAGCCCUUGGCCAGGGACCGGCUGACACAGGAGAACAAAAGAUCUCAGGCUGGGAUAACAUGGUGGUGCAGUUCAUCCUCUGGAGCUCCCUGUGAGAUCAGACUGGAGCCAGUCUCCAGCUGAGACCACAUCUCACUUAGCUCCUUCCCUGCCAUAUCCUGUUUUCCUUACUCCUAUCUCCUGAGAGUCCUGAAUGAAUUACAUGCACUCAAUCCGUGCCUCAGGCUCUGUUUUUCGGGAACUUGACCUAAGACAGAUAUCUUAGUACUAAAUACUUUGCAAGGCUUCAGAAGCUCUGCUAUCCACAGGCAGGUGAGAUAUUACCUUCCCUACCACCUGGCAGUCAUAGUCUAUGAUGCAACUCAGCUUUGUGGAAGUGCUUCUCUAAAGAACUUCCCCCAAUUUAAGAUGAUCUUAAUUUGCUUACUUGUUUACUGUCCAUUCAGCUGCUCUAAAAUGUGAGCUCCAAAUCAGGGACCAUGUCUGGUUGGUUACCCAUUUCCUGGGACCUAGAACGGGCCUAGCUCAGAGCAGGUGCUCACUAUUGAUGGAAUGCAUGUUGAAAGAAUGCAUGAAUCUCAUCUCCUUUUGUGGGUGAAAAUCUCAUCCUAUUCUCACUCCUGAUUAACUUUCUUUCUUUUUUUUUUUUCAAAACGGAGCCCUGAUCUGUCACCCAGGCUGGAGUGCAAUGGUGCCAUCUCAGCUCGCUGCAACCUCUGCCUUCUGGAUUAAAGCAAUUCUCCUGCCUCAGCCUCCCGGGUAGCUGGGAUUACAGGUGCACACCACCACGCCCGGCUAAUUUUUUGUAUUUUUAAUAGAGACAGGGUUUUGCCAUGUUGGCCAGGCUGGUCUCAAACCCCUGACCCUGUGAUCUGCCCGAUUUGGCCUCCCAAAGUCCUGGGAUUACAAACAUGAGCCACCGUACCCAGCCACUCUUGAUUAACUUAAUGGAAAUAUUUAGAGAUUCUUUCUUUUCUGGGUUCUAGAGUCUUCUCUGUAACCUCUGCAGGGGAGUCCUUGAGCAGAAGGAAGCAAGUUGCCUGAGAUUCUUCAAAGCCCGCAGCCCUUUUGGAGGUUAGAUGGUUAUUCUCAGAGCCUUUAUGAUGCAUAAUAAAGACCUAGCUUGGACCAAUAUUAGGAUGAGUUAUCUUGCUAUUAACAUUCUUUUAGGUAGAAGUUGCUGGUCCCAUCUUGCUCACAAUCCUCCAAAGUUUGAAAGUUAUUUUCCAGGAGACUUGGCUUGCACUGAGAGCUGCCCUCCCACCCUCUCUCCAAAUUUCCUCUUGGGGGUAGCCUAACAAGGUGCUGUCACAGACCCUUGUCGGCCACGAUGACCCCACCCAGACCAUCCCUCUGCUGUUUCACUCUUUGAUAGUCUCUGGAGCUCUCUGGGGAGGGGUGAGACCUGCCGUCUAGUUUGUAUGGUUUGCCCAGGUCUUACAGUCAUGGCUGGCUGCCUCUCUCUGAGAACUAGAACUCCUGAACUUGGUGAAAGACCUCAGCCAUCGAUCAUGUUGAAUUAUCGGGGACACUCAUUUGAAAUCCGAGCCUGUUCCAGAUAGACUCUCUCUCUUUCUGCCCUGACCGUGAGAGAAGCCCUGCUGGACGGUGGAGACACUCGUGGGCUGUGAGCAAGGGAUGCAAAGGCUGCCGGGAAUCCCAUCUUUCCAGCAUCAUCUGCCAAGGCACAUUAGUUCCUGGGUAUCUGGAUGGGUUCUAGCAGCAUUACUGUCAUUGAAGGAAAAAUUUUAGCCAUAUUAAAGGUUAAUGCAGCAAUCUCCACAUAGGCUGCCUGGAAGGGAAGCAGGACAAGGUUAGGUUUUCCUUGUGAUGGACAGGAGGCAGGCGGCCCUCCCACAGCCCUGCCUGGCAAUACAGAUGUGUCCCCAAAAGGCACUGGGGGCCAGCUGGAGUGCUAUGCCGAGGCGGACUGACCCGGGCCGUGGGUUCACUCUGCUGGCAGCGGUUUCCCGCCAGCUCCUUGCAGAGUUGGCAGAUGGCCCAGCCCCACAGCAGGAGCCGGGAAUGGCAGAACGAGACACAACAAUUUGAUAUCCACUUGCCAGAUGAGCCGGGUGUCAUCAGUCGCCUGGCUCUAUGCCCAACCUCUUUUUGCAUAAACACUUAUGGAUUCAGCCAAGAGGAAAAGCACUCUGAUUAUGAAUUGAGCAGAAGGAAACAAAGUUCUGCAGAUAAACACCAAUGAAACAAAAAACCACGAAUAAGAAAAAUGACAGAAAAGGAGAACCUUCCCAGAAUCCUCCUGCCAGUGAACGGUCACCAGAGCAAGAGCAUGGAGUCCCUGGGUUUUGAACUGUGAGAUAAGGAAGAUGAUGAAAACCUCCCUAGCAGCCAGUUCUACAGGGCCUGGAGCUGAUACGAAAAACCUCCCUUCUUUCCCAAAUGGUCCCCAGCUUCCCCGUUCACUGAAGGCCCUGCAGUCGGGAACAGUCAGGACUUUGCACCCAGUUGUUGUGGGUGUUUGGCCAACCCUUCCUCUUGUGUGAUUCAUGGACCUGCAGCAUUGCGUCACCUGUGAGCUUUUGGAAUUGAAGACUCUCAGGGCUCACCCGGGAGGACCUGCUGGGCCAGAAUCUGCAUUUUAACAAGAUGCCUGGGUGAUCUGCAUACACGUUCAGAUCUGAGAAGUGCUGGUAGGAGAGGCUUUAAGGUGAAACUCCUGGAGGGCAGAGCCAUGCCUGCCAUUUUCAUCAUUGCAUUACCACCACCCAGCACAGUGCCUGGUACAAAAGAGUUGCUCAAUAAAUAAAUCAGGAUGAAUGGACAAAUACACGGAUAGGCACUUUGAACUACAGAUGAGCUUAAAUACUUUGUGUUUUUCUUAGUCAAACAUGUGCAAUUAAGCAUGUGAUAAAUUAUAUGAUGACCACACCUGUGUCUUGCCUGAUGUUCUUUGCAAUCACUAAACAAAGUCAAUUUUGCCUGUUUUGACAGUUCUGUUUUCAACCUAAUGAUCCGUUUCUUUUAACUUCUGGCUGUUGGCUUUGUUUGGGUUUGUUAGCCUGACAAAGUGGCAGAUAUUGGUAUUUGCUCUUUUGUUUAAAUGUCACGAACUUUAAAAAUGCCUUUGCUUUUGGUAAGAAACCCUAGUUAGGACAGUCUAGUGGUCAGGAUGAUUUGGGUUCUGAUGCAGUAACAACAACCCCCAAAUCUCAGUGGCUCCAUGCGGUGAGGUAUUUGUUAGUUUUUGAGACAGGGUCUCACUCUGUCACCCAGACUAGAGUGCAGUGGUGCAAUCUCAGCUCACUGCCACCUCUGCCUCCCAGACUCAAGUGAUUCUCUGCCUCCUGAGUGGCUGGGAUUACAGGCCCGUGCCACUACUGUCUGGCUAAUUUUUUUACUUAGUAGAGACAGGAUUUCACCAUGUUAGCCAGGCUGGUCUUGAACUCCUGACCUCAAAUGAUCCACCUGCCUUGGCCUCCCAAAGUGCUGGGAUGACAGGUGUGAGCCACCAUGUCUGGCCACAAUGAGGCUUAUUCUUGGUCAUGUUGCAUGUCUGGGCUGUGUUAGGGCAUUGUGGGGUGGUCUGUUCAUUGUGUUCACUCAGGGAUCCAGGCUGACAAAAGCCCCAUCUCUGCAUGUGUCCUUGAUCACCACUUCAGGGGAAAGGGAAUGUGCUGGAUCACAGAGCCUCUUAACACUUCCACCUGGAGGUGACUCAAGUUGCUCCUGCUCAUGGUUCAUCGGACAAAACGGAUCACAGAGUCAUGGGCAACUUCUCUGUGCCUGGAAGGGGAACCAAAAUAUGAAUAGCUACAUUGAUUUUCCCUAGCUAUUACACAGAAGGCCUCAUUUAAACACAGUUACUUAUUUGUGUUUUGAAGCUAAUUGUAGUCCAUCAACCUUCACAGAAGAUAUGUGCACUUCUAAGCUAUUAUUAAGCACAGUUUUUUUUUUCUUUUGAGACAGAGUCUCACUCUCUUGCCCAGACUGGUGUGCAGUGGCAUGAUCAUGGAUCACUGCAACUUCUGCCUCCUGGGUUCAAGUGAUUUUCAUGCCUCAGCCUCCCAAAGUGCUGGGAUUACAGACACCCACCACUGCACCUGGCUAAGUUUUGUAUUUUUAGUAGAGAUGGGGUUUCACCAUGUUGGCUUGGCUGGUCUGGAACUCCUGACCUCAGGUUAUCCACCUGCCUUGGCCUCCCAAAGUGCUGAGAUGACAGGCGUGAGCCACCGCACCCGGCCUUGAGUAUGAUUUUUGAUUGGGAACGUCAGAGUUACGGUUUUAGUCUGAGGACAGUAUGACGUGAAGGUGAAAAGUAGAGCUUGGCUGUGAGUUUGCUGGGAUUCCUGUGCUACUUCUACAGUUCUUCGGCUGUGUGACCAUCACCUUUG